rnacentral:rRNA from 1 species
GACGAACGCUGGCGGCGUGCCUAAUACAUGCAAGUAGAACGCUGAAGGAGGAGCUUGCUUCUCUGGAUGAGUUGCGAACGGGUGAGUAACGCGUAGGUAACCUGCCUGGUAGCGGGGGAUAACUAUUGGAAACGAUAGCUCAUACCGCAUAAGAGUAGAUGUCGCAUGACAUUUGCUUAAAAGGUGCAAUUGCAUCACUACCAGAUGGACCUGCGUUGUAUUAGCUAGUUGGUGAGGUAACGGCUCACCAAGGCAACGAUACAUAGCCGACCUGAGAGGGUGAUCGGCCACACUGGGACUGAGACACGGCCCAGACUCCUACGGGAGGCAGCAGUAGGGAAUCUUCGGCAAUGGACGGAAGUCUGACCGGGCAACGCCGCGUGAGUGAAGAAGGUUUUCGGAUCGUAAAGCUCUGUUGUAAGAGAAGAACGAGUGUGAGAGUGGAAAGUUCACACUGUGACGGUAUCUUACCAGAAAGGGACGGCUAACUACGUG